rnacentral:lncRNA from 1 species
AUCAUUAAAAUCACCUGGAUGGAAUCAAUUUCUUCUUGGGAAACAUUCCCAUCAAUUCCCUUCACUCCUGUCUUGGUGGAGCCACAUUCAGUAUGCUGGGGGUCACAUUCGUUGGCAAUCAGAGUUCCAACACUUGAACAACCGAAAUACUCCGAUCUAGACCGUGUGAAAGGCAAAAAGUGUGCAACAACCAGGUACCGGGGUUUAAAAUCAACGGGAAGAGCUGUCACUGCUUUGUGUUUAAAAAGGAGUCGGAAGAAAUCCGUAUGGGGAGACGGAAUAAUAAAAGUCAGAUCUGCCGACUGAUCGCCCGGGCUUGUUUCAAGCACCCUGAUUUAGAAAUAAAUGAAGAAUCGGAACCUCUCUCCACAGAGAAGAUGCUAUCCUCAUUAGUCUCGUCGGUGGCUCUCAUCAUUUGUUUUAAAGGCGAUCUUGGUAUUUCACGUGAUGGGACCUUGCCUCUUUAAAAUGAGGUUUUCCUUGACUA